CGGAAACUAAAACAAAAUGACGCAUAAUGUUGCUGUGUUGCUUGAAGGUUGACCUGGCACCCUGGCAGUCUGGAGGACAAAUUAAGGCAGACACAUUGACUAACGAGUGAAAAUCAACAUCUAUUAACCCUAUGGCAAAAGAUCGUCGCGGCUGCUGCACUGUGGACGCUGUAGCUACGCGACGGGUCGCCGACUGUAUACCUAUGAUAUCUUGGCUGGAUCAGAAGAUCAUUUCAACGACUGCUCGGUGUCCUAUCGUGGAUUCCAUCUGGCCCACACCUACAUACUGUGCUGUGG